rnacentral:tRNA from 1 species
UAGCUCACUCGGAUGGAGCGUGGUGCUGAUAACACCAAAGUCAUGGGUUCGAUCCCUGU